rnacentral:rRNA from 1 species
AGAGUUUGAUCCUGGCUCAGGAUGAACGCUGGCGGCGUGCCUAAUACAUGCAAGUCGAACGAGGUGCUUUUGUAGCAAUACGAGAGUAUCCUAGUGGCGAACGGGUGAGUAACGCGUUGGUGACCUACCCCAAAGUGUGGGAUAACAGUCCGAAAGGAUUGCUAAUACCUCAUGUGGUCAUUGGGUUUAGAAACUGAUGACUAAAGCAGCAAUGCGCUUUGGGAGGGACCUGCGUCCCAUCAGCUAGUUGGUGAGGUAAUGGCUCACCAAGGCGACGACGGGUAGGGGACCUGAGAGGGUGACCCCCCACAAUGGAACUGAAACACGGUCCAUACACCUACGGGUGGCAGCAGUAGGGAAUAUUGCUCAAUGGGCGAAAGCCUGAAGCAGCAACGCCGCGUGUGCGAUGAAGGUCUUCGGAUCGUAAAGCACUUUUCUGCGAGAUGAGAAAGGACAGUAUCGUAGGAAUAAGUCUCGGCUAACUACGUGCCAGCAGCCGCGGUAAUAC